rnacentral:rRNA from 1 species
UUAACACUGAGGCGUGACGACGAGGCACUACGGUGCUGAAGCAACAAAUGCCCUGCUUCCAGGAAAAGCCUCUAAGCAUCAGGUAACACGAAAUCGUACCCCAAACCGACACAGGUGGUCAGGUAGAGAAUACCAAGGCGCUUGAGAGAACUCGGGUGAAGGAACUAGGCAAAAUGGUGCCGUAACUUCGGGAGAAGGCACGCUGACACGUAGGUGAAGUGAUUUACUCAUGGAGCUGAAGUCAGUCGAAGAUACCAGCUGGCUGCAACUGUUUAUUAAAAACACAGCACUGUGCAAACACGAAAGUGGACGUAUACGGUGUGACGCCUGCCCGGUGCCGGAAGGUUAAUUGAUGGGGUCAGCGCAAGCGAAGCUCCUGAUCGAAGCCCCGGUAAACGGCGGCCGUAACUAUAACGGUCCUAAGGUAGCGAAAUUCCUUGUCGGGUAAGUUCCGACCUGCACGAAUGGCGUAAUGAUGGCCAGGCUGUCUCCACCCGAGACUCAGUGAAAUUGAACUCGCUGUGAAGAUGCAGUGUACCCGCGGCAAGACGGAAAGACCCCGUGAACCUUUACUAUAGCUUGACACUGAACAUUGAGCCUUGAUGUGUAGGAUAGGUGGGAGGCUUUGAAGUGUGGACGCCAGUCUGCAUGGAGCCGACCUUGAAAUACCACCCUUUAAUGUUUGAUGUUCUAACGUGGACCCGUAAUCCGGGUUGCGGACAGUGUCUGGUGGGUAGUUUGACUGGGGCGGUCUCCUCCUAAAGAGUAACGGAGGAGCACGAAGGUUGGCUAAUCCUGGUCGGACAUCAGGAGGUUAGUGCAAUGGCAUAAGCCAGCUUGACUGCGAGCGUGACGGCGCGAGCAGGUGCGAAAGCAGGUCAUAGUGAUCCGGUGGUUCUGAAUGGAAGGGCCAUCGCUCAACGGAUAAAAGGUACUCCGGGGAUAACAGGCUGAUACCGCCCAAGAGUUCAUAUCGACGGCGGUGUUUGGCACCUCGAUGUCGGCUCAUCACAUCCUGGGGCUGAAGUAGGUCCCAAGGGUAUGGCUGUUCGCCAUUUAAAGUGGUACGCGAGCUGGGUUUAGAACGUCGUGAGACAGUUCGGUCCCUAUCUGCCGUGGGCGCUGGAGAACUGAGGGGGGCUGCUCCUAGUACGAGAGGACCGGAGUGGACGCAUCACUGGUGUUCGGGUUGUCAUGCCAAUGGCACUGCCCGGUAGCUAAAUGCGGAAGAGAUAAGUGCUGAAAGCAUCUAAGCACGAAACUUGCCCCGA